rnacentral:rRNA from 1 species
UACGAAGGGGGCUAGCGUUGCUCGGAAUCACUGGGCGUAAAGCGCACGUAGGCGGCUUUUUAAGUCAGGGGUGAAAUCCUGGAGCUCAACUCCAGAACUGCCUUUGAUACUGAGAAGCUUGAGUUCGGGAGAGGUGAGUGGAACUGCGAGUGUAGAGGUGAAAUUCGUAGAUAUUCGCAAGAACACCAGUGGCGAAGGCGGCUCACUGGCCCGGUACUGACGCUGAGGUGCGAAAGCGUGGGGAGCAAACAGG